rnacentral:tRNA from 1 species
GAGGGUAUAGCUCAGUGGUAGAGUGUAUGCUUAGCAUGCAUGAGGUCCUGGGUUAUCUCAGUAUCUCUA